rnacentral:rRNA from 1 species
UAAUACUCGAGCCCCAAGUGGUAUCCGCCAUUAGUGGGUCUAAAGCGUCCGUAGCCGGUUUGAUAAGUUCCCAGUGAAAUCCUUUGGUAAACUGAAGGGCUUGCUGGGAAUACUACCAGACUUGGGACUGGGAGAGGGUAGACGUACUCCCGGGGGAGGGGUAAAAUCCUAUAAUCCUGGGGGGACGACCGGUGGCGAAGGCUUCUACCUAGAACAGGUUCGACGGUGAGGGACGAAACCUAGGGGAGCGAUCGGGAUUAGAUACCCCGGUAGUCCUAGGCGUAAACGAUGCCCGUUUGGUGUUGCUGACCUUUCGAGGGUCUGCAGUGCCGGAGCGUAGGUGUUAAACGGGCCACCUGGGAAGUACGACCGCAAGGUUG